GAGAAAAAUAAAUAAAGUACCAGAAUGGAUAGGAGACCCUGACCAGAGAUAAAUGAUUCCUCUCCUGAGAUGUGUUUUUGUUUUAUCACAAUGACCUUUCAGAGAAGAGAUGAAGCCAGCCUCAGGUUAACUCUGAAGGCCUUGACUCAUCCAACUGAGAGCAGAUUAGCCCAGAUGGAGACAUUUUCAACACGGUUCUGUCUGACCAAUCAGCGACAGCUGGGAUUAGCCAAAUACCUUCUCUCAUCUGCUUGCUCACAGAAAGGGCACCCCAGACUGAGCCAUACAAAGUAAACGGUGUCAAAACCUACAACUCACACCCAUUCCCUAUGUCACACAACCAGC
ensembl:lncRNA